UGGGGAAUAUUGCACAAUGGGGGGAAACCCUGAUGCAGCGACGCCGCGUGAGUGAAGAAGUAUUUCGGUAUGUAAAGCUCUAUCAGCAGGGAAGAAAAAAGACGGUACCUGACUAAGAAGCCCCGGCUAACUACGUGCC
rnacentral:rRNA from 1 species